UACGUAGGGUGCAAGCGUUAAUCGGAAUUACUGGGCGUAAAGCGCGUGUAGGCGGUUGCCCAAGUCGGGUGUGAAAGCCUUGAGCUCAACUCAAGAAAUGCACUCGGUACUGGGUGACUAGAGGACCGGAGAGGAUAGUGGAAUUCCCAGUGUAGUGGUGAAAUACGUAGAGAUUGGGAAGAACACCAGUGGCGAAGGCGGCUAUCUGGACGGUUUCUGACGCUAAGACGCGAAAGCGUGGGGAGCAAACAGG
rnacentral:rRNA from 1 species